rnacentral:misc_RNA from 1 species
GGAACAUUUCCUGUCAAGGUAAUCAUAUCUGUUUCUUGUAUUAUUUUGUUCUUGCACAGCCUGAACUGUUAUUUGCAUCUGUUUCAUUUCAUCACUCGGUCAUUUUACAUUUAUUUUCUGAGAUAUAUGCUUAUAUAUUCUGCUUUUAUUAUGAUAGUAAGUUAAGUGUAUCAAUUUUUAUUUCUGAGACUUUUUUGUUUCCUGUUGCUGUUGGUGCAUUCUCUUCCUUUUUCCCUUUCUUCUGCAUCGUGUGGAGGUGGGGGGUGGGGGAUGGGAUGAAAAUUCACAAACAUGUAGAUUCUUCAAAUCUUUUCAUUUGUUUUUUGGAACUUUCUUGCAAAGGGGAAAAAUGUUAUAGGAGUUGAUACAAAUAUCAUCAAAUGAUUGUUCACCAGGAACUUUAAAAAAAAAAUUAGUGGAGAGUUCCUUUUGAGGAUAUCUUAAAUGAAAAUGUGAAGAUUCUUUUUGAGAAGUUUCAUGGUUUCCCCUCAAGGAUUUUGGACUUGGAUUCCAUGCUUUAACUAUGUUCUAUUAGAUUUAUUUAUUUUUAAUCCAGUGAUACUUUUGAACAUUUUAAAGUUAAAUAACAUCAGUCACAAAAAUAAUUGUGGUGUUUCUGUCGCAAGUACCGGUUUUGACCUGCUUGCUGCUGGCAUGAUAUUUUUUUGCUUCAAGAGUUGUCUUUGAAUGUGGCAUGCAUUAUAUUUUAGGCUCAAAAUGUGCAUUGUUCUGAUAAUUAACAGGAUGUAAAAGUGAAAUAAUGUGCUCAUAUCAAGGUAGCAUAUUGCUAGAGGCAGGGGCCUCUAAUUGGCAUGAAUGUUGGGCAUGAUUUGCAACAUGUGCAAACCAUUAUUUUGAGGCUUGAGUGUUGUGUCUCGACUUGCAUUCAUACUGACUGAUAUUGGGGGAAUUCAAAGCUUGCUGUAUUUAUCAGAUUAGAAUACGUUUGAGUCGUGAGGUGCAAACCUUAGUCUGUACUUGGUUUCAGAUGCCACAUUAGUUACGCUGCAAGUGCAGUCUGAGCCCGAGUUAUGCUAUAUCUGCAUCCCGGCUCAUUAGUAGAUAAUAUUCUUAAUCUCUUUUUUGGAGAAAAAAAAAAUUAGAGAAUUUCCAGUAGUUGGGACAAGUGCAUGUAUAUGAUCAACAAUACCACAUGUCGAACUUGCAGUUACUUUCUGCUGCAACAUAGGUGCAAAAUGAACUUUCUAUCAUGCAUAUUUUUGUUUGGAAAAUUUAUCCCAACUUCAGAAUAGAUUAUACACGACAUUGAUUUUUCAUUAAUAAUUAGUAGCUUCAUCAACCUGAAAAACUGGUAUGGUAUAAUUCCAGUUUCUGGUUAAUAACAUAUUCUGAAAGAGGAUGUUGCAUGUGGUAUAUGUCUACACUGCAUUCAAGUACUGAGCUAUGAAGAACAUGAUAAUAUCUUAUUUCCUUCAAUGCAGGUUGCCAUCCCAAUUGUCCCAACUAUUCGGGUGCUU